GUUAGCGGCGGACGGGUGAGUAACACGUGGGUAACCUGCCCAUAAGACUGGGAUAACUCCGGGAAACCGGGGCUAAUACCGGAUAACAUUUUGAACUGCAUGGUUCGAAAUUGAAAGGCGGCUUCGGCUGUCACUUAUGGAUGGACCCGCGUCGCAUUAGCUAGUUGGUGAGGUAACGGCUCACCAAGGCAACGAUGCGUAGCCGACCUGAAAGGGUGAUCGGCCACACUGGGACUGAGACACGGCCCAAACUACUCCGGGAGGCAGCAGUAUUGGAAUCUUCCCCAAUGGACGAAAGUCUUACCGAACAACGCCUCGUCCCUGAUGAAGGCCUUCGGGUCGUAAAGCUCUGUUGUUAGGGAAGAACAAGUACCAGAAUAGGUCGGCACCUUGACGGUACCUAACCAGAAAGCCACGGCUAACUACGUGCCAGCAGCCGCGGUAAUACGUAGGUGGCAAGCGUUGUCCGGAAUUAUUGGGCGUAAAGCGCGCGCAGGUGGUUUCUUAAGUUUGAUGUGAAAGCCCGCGGCU
rnacentral:rRNA from 1 species